rnacentral:lncRNA from 10 species
GGCAUCUCCUCUGGAUGUCCUUAGGUAGACAUUGAAGCAGAACUGCCAACUUUUUGUAGAAGGCUAGAGAGGAGAGGAGGACACAGAGAGAGGGCAAGAGUGGAAAACAGAAUGAGGCUCAGAAUACCAAGCCUUAGUGCUGUCCCUAUCAUCUGCUUCACUCGAUCACUGGGUAAUCUUGGGCAAGUUUCUUCCUUUCCAUCAGCUUAUUUCCUCAACUUUAAGGAGGCGGUCUUCAAGAUGGCUGACUAGAGGUACCAGGCACUGUGUCCUCCCAAAGAAAGACCAAGACAGCAAGUAGAUAAUCAUACCUUGAAGAGGGCAUGAAAGAGGGCACUAGAAUUCAGCAGCAAAGUGAUGAGGAAUCUCUGAGGUAUGGAAGGAAGGAAAAUGAAGCAGCUGCCCAGCCAGAAUCAGCUUAAAGCCAGGACAGGCUCUCCAGUGUGGUGAAAAGGUAAAAAAGAGAGCCCCAGUGGUCCAUAUUCCCACUGUGGACACUGCAAUCCUAGCCAAGGGACAGUCUCUCAGCCCUCGCAGGCCCUGAGACUGCUAUAGGGAGCUGCCUGGAGUCUAGGUGAUGGUCAUUGUCCCAGAGAAGGAGUUGGCACUGGAUCGUCUGCACCUGCCCCCAGACACAGGCAGCUGUGGCACAAUGCCAAUUUGAGAGCCCAGCCCCCAAAAGACUACAUCCUGCCCUGGGGCCCAACAGCCCCUGCAUCUCCACAUCUCUGGACCCUCAGUGACAUUCCCUCAUGUCCAUCCAGAGUCCUGCAGAGUCACAAUACCAGCUGAACUCACCAGUGUAGCUUGGUCCCCAUCACUCUAGCCUACACAGUGUCCUACACUCCAGGGAACUGGCAGUGCCAUUCACUAGGGAGGCUGCCCCCAGAACAAAGGGAGCUGAAGCAGGCACUCUUCUCAAGUGGAGAGUCACCUUCCCAGGACCACUGACACUGACAGCAAUCCUGGCCCCCAGGAGCAGGGCCACUGCACACCUGCAGGCAUCCUCAGGGGACCUGGGGACUCACCUGCCUGAGCACUAUUCCAGGGCCAGAGCACAGGCCCAUCCCACCCAUUGCUGUCACUACCACUACCCAAGGUCGUUGUCCAGGAGGCUGGGGAUCAACCCACACUGCUGUCUGUCAUUGGCACCUGUGCAUGCCUUCUUGUGAACUGAGUAUGAGCCCACCCAGCCUGGUGGUGCCUGUGCACAUUGUCUGGGAGCCUGGGAAUUAAUCCACCAUGCCUAUCACCAUCAAGUACCUGUGUGUCUCCUGAGAGCUUAAGGAUAGGACUUCCCAGCCUGCCAUCACAGCUGUCACCAGUGCCCACAUAUUUGCACCAGGUGAAAGCCUGAGGACUACUCUGUCCAUCAUGUUGCCAUGACUGUUGGUGUCUGCACAUGCCAUCUGGGGUCACGAGAGUUGACCUGCUAUGACUACUGCAAUUGCUGAUGCUACACAUGCCUCCCAGGGUCUUGAGGGCAUGCCUAUCUACCGAGCUCACCACUGUCACUGCUGGCACUUGAGAAAGCCACCUGACUCACGCCUGUAAUCCUAGCACUUUGGAAGGCUGAGGGGGGCAGAUCACCCGAGGUCGGGAGUUCAAGACCAGCCUGACCAACAUGGAGAAACUCCAUCUCUACUAAAGACAAAAUUAGCUGGGCAUGGAGGCGCAUGCCUGUAAUCCCAGCUACUCU